rnacentral:rRNA from 1 species
UACGGAGGGUGCAAGCGUUGUCCGGAUUCAUUGGGUUUAAAGGGUGCGCAGGCGGGCCAUUAAGUCAGGGGUGAAAGACGGUUGCUCAACAAUCGCAGUGCCUUUGAUACUGGUGUUCUUGGGUAACCUUGAGGUAGGCGGAAUGGGUGGUGUAGCGGUGAAAUGCAUAGAUACCACCCAGAACUCCGAUUGCGAAGGCAGCCUACUGGAGGUCAACCGACGCUCAGGCACGAAAGCGUGGGGAUCAAACAGG